rnacentral:rRNA from 1 species
UGGGGAAUAUUGCACAAUGGGCGCAAGCCUGAUGCAGCCAUGCCGCGUGUGUGAAGAAGGCCUUCGGGUUGUAAAGCACUUUCAGCGAGGAGGAAGGUGGUGAACUUAAUACGUUCAUCAAUUGACGUUACUCGCAGAAGAAGCACCGGCUAACUCCGUGCCAGCAGCCACGGUAAUACGGAGGGUGCAAGCGUUAAUCGGAAUUACUGGGCGUAAAGCGCACGCAGGCGGUUUGUUAAGUCAGAUGUGAAAUCCCCGGGCUCAACCUGGGAACUGCAUUUGAAACUGGCAAGCUAGAGUCUCGUAGAGGGGGGUAGAAUUCCAGGUGUAGCGGUGAAAUGCGUAGAGAUCUGGAGGAAUACCGGUGGCGAAGGCGGCCCCCUGGACGAAGACUGACGCUCAGGUGCGAAAAGCGUGGGGAGCAAACAGGAUUAGAUACCCCUGGUAGUCCACGCUGUAAAACGAUGUCGAUUUUGGAGGUUGUGCCCUUGAGGCGUGGCUUCCGGAGCUAACGCGUUAAAUCGACCGCCUGGGGAGUACGGCCGCAAGGUUAAAACUCAAAUGAAUUGACGGGGUCAUAGCUGUUUCCU